rnacentral:lncRNA from 1 species
CCAGCUGCCCCCCUGGUUGUCCCCGCACGGAAGUCUGCAGCAUCUCUCAGGCACCGCACCCACCUGGCCCCCAAUUUUUCCCCGCCGGCAUUUCUGGUCUGAUCCUAUGAUUUGGUAUGUUCGUCAGUUUUGGCAUGAUCCUCCUUCCUGUUGUUAGUUGCGUGUACUGUUUUAUGGUUAGAUCUAUCCCUUUUCGUCUGUUGAGUGUGGUAUUUCCCCUGCAGCUAGUUUAGAUGUAUGUGGUUUGCGUUGUUUACUGGCAUUGAAUCCGGUGAAUUCGGGUUGUUGAUGUGCGCCUGGAUAUUCCCUUGCAGCUAGGUAUUUCAAUUUGGACACGCUGAAAUCAUGUUCAGUGAGUUCAAUCCCCUGGAACACGCUGGAUUCUCUAGUGUUUUAUAUCCCCUGUGCCGUUUGCUGAUGUAGGUUUGUAUGUAUUGUUUCAUUGCCUAUCUAUCACUAUGAGAUUGCUAUAGAUUGUCCAUGUCAUGAUUGCCUAGUUUAAUGGGGGAUUGCUUUCGCUAUUUGUUAGUGUAAUUUUAGUGUUUUGUAAGUCAAUUUUACACUGCAUUUGUACUGUAAUUCUUUGCUGAUUUACAUUGGAUUAGUGGAUUUACACCGUAAUCCUUCGUGGAUUUGCACUGUAAUCCUUAGUGGAAUUACAGUGUAUUUUCUUAGUGGAUUUGCACUGAAUUCUAUUUUGGAUUUACAGUGUAAUUCUUACUGGAUUUUUAGUGGUUUUACAGUGUAAUUCUUAGUGGAUUUACAAAAUGUAAUAGUUGUUUUUACAGCGUAAUUUUCAGUGGAUCGGCACUGUAAUUCUUGAGUGAUCUUGUAAUUCGUUAGUGGAGUUACAGUGUAAGUCUCAGUUUAAUUUACAGUGUAAUUCCUAGUGCUUUUUCAACUGUAUUUAGUUGAUUUUUACAGCGUAAUUUUUCAGUGGAUUUACGCUGUAGUUUCUAGUGCAUUUUCUUAGUGGAUUCACAAAUAUAAUACUGCAUUUGCUAGUGGUUUUUACAGCGUAAUCUUCAGUGGACUGACACUAAUUCUUGAGUUCUCUUGUAAUGCAAUUCUUUAGUGGAUUUACAGUGUAAGUCUCACUUGAUUUACAGUGUAUUUCCUAGUGUUUUUGGACUCUAUUUAGAUGAUUUUUACAGCGUAAUUCGUCAGUGGAUUUACACUGUAAUUCUUAGUGCAUUUUGCAAUGUAUUUAGUUGAUUCCUAGUGGAUUUUUACAGUGUAAAUCUCAGUGUAGUCACGCCAUAAUUCUUUUGUGGUUUUACUCUGUAAAUCUUACUGCCAUGGUAUUGUAUUUACUUAUCUUAUCGGUGAUUUUUACACUGGUUAGUAUUGGAUUUUUUGUGUGAUAUGUACUGGAAGCGUGAGCUUUUUGGUGGCUCUCGCUCGCCUUUCUGGCUCUGAAAUAAGAUGAUGACUGAUAUGAGCCUAUGUCUACAUGCCCAGACCUUGCCAAUGGGUGUGUCAAGUGUGGGUUGCAUCCACGUGGCCGCUUGCUUGUGUGGAUGGAUGUGUGCUUGCAAUGGGUUUUGAAACACUAGUAGUACUUCCAAGCAGCUUUUGUCUAUGUGGCUGCAGUGUAAAUGUGAUCCUCUCCUCUUACGAGUGUUUGGCAUGUAGUAUUUUGAACUAAGAAGCACUUGUCUCUGCCUGUGAGCUUGUUAAGUAUACAUUUCAUAUGAGCAGGCAACCCUUUACAUUCCGUAUUUUCUAGGUGGUUGUCUAUGCUUUUCAGUUUUGUGUUCUUUCAGUUAUUGGUUCAGCUAGUGCUUGUUUAUGUUGUUUGGGAGGAGAAGUUGUUGAAAUUCUCAGUGCCAUUUACAGAGGAAUUACAGCAGUUUUCAAUGUUGGUUCACUGUAGAUCACAUUGUAAUUCAACUGCAAUUAUACUGUAAUUCAACUGUCAUUUGCACUAUAAUACUACUGCUUUUUACUCUGUAAAUUUAAUGUCAAAUGUCACUGGGAAUUAUAGUAGUUCUAUGUAUAUUACACUAUAUUUGUGAUGUAAUUACAUUGUAUAUUACAUUGUAAAUCUUUUGCAAUUGCAUUGUAAAACUCACAAAAUUUCUACUGUAGUUGUAUUUCUACUAUAAAUUAGACUGUAAAUCUAUUGAAAUUACACUGCAAAUCACACUAUUAAUCUACUGGUUACACUGCAAUUCUACUAUAUUUGUUACAAAUGUAAAUUCCAUUGUAAAUCUACUAUAAAUUAUACUGUAAAUCUUCUGAAAUUACAGUGUAAAUCACACAUUGAAUUUACUACAAUUAUACCAUAACUCUACUGUAUUUACAACAUCGUAAUUGUAUUUGUAAAUUACAUUGUAAUUGUACCGUGUUUAUACUGUACUUUACACUGCAAUUUUACUGUAAAUCUACUGCAAAUACAGUGUAAUUGAAACUGUAAAACUGUCUUCUAUUGUAAUUCAACUCCGAAUGUAUUGUUUCAGAUUGACUUAACUGUGUGAGUUCAGUUCAUCAUGUGUGAUGGUUACGUUUUUAUCUUCAAAGUUUACUGUAGUUGUUCCUUUUUUCCUGUAAUUGUUACUGGACUAACAUGAUUUACUGUUUCCGUUUUACUUUGCAUACAGUCCAACUAUGUGAUAGUUUCCUGUACUGAGGUCUUAUAUUUCUGCUAAAUUUAUCAGUAUAAUUUCUGCUUCUCUAUGCCAUUCCUGUUUGAAAGUUCUAAUGUAUAUAUGAUUUGCAGUUCUUUAGUAGUUUUAUUUUCCAUGUAAUCUUAGUUUAAUAUGUUUCCUGAUGUACACUUGUCUUUGUUCCUUUCUUUCAAAUUGGAGAAGCAUUUCACGUCUUCUCUUUCUACGUUCAUAAAUGAGGGUAGUUGUUUUUCACUAUAGUCUUUUGCAUGAGUUACAAGAUCUGGUAGUCACAUGCACAUGGCUAGAUAUGGUAUAUACAAUACUCAUUUUUUCUUUAAAGUUGAAUGCAAUUAUGAUCUAGAUGUGCUUCUAGUGUCUACUAGCUGUUAGAAGUGCUUCCAUUAUCUACUGGCUGCAGUCUCUAACUAUUUUAUGUUCUCCUUUUUUUGUAAAUUGUAACAGAAAAUUAAGGAUUCAUAAACGUCAUGUUGAUAUGAGGGAAUGCUGCAGUUGGUUUGAUGUACUUGACAGAAGCAUCAGGGAGAGAGGUGAUUUAGGGAGGGCACCUGACAUGUGAUUAUUCCAUAGUGUAAACUAAUUAGACUGGUUUUCAUCCGGCUGUAAAGUAGAC